rnacentral:rRNA from 1 species
GUGCCAGCAGCCGCGGUAAGACAGAGGUGCCGAGCGUUAGGCGGAAUCACUGGGCUUAAAGCGUGUGUAGGCGGGUCGUUAAGUGUCUUGUGAAAUCCCACCGCUCACCGGUGGAACGGCUGGGCAUACUGGCGACCUUGAGAGGCCUAGGGGCAGACGGAACAAGCGGUGGAGCGGUGAAAUGCGUAGAUAUCGCUUGGAACGCCGACGGCGAAAGCAGUCUGCUGGGGGCCUUCUGACGCUGAGACACGAAAGCCAGGGGAGCGAACGGGAUUAGAUACCCCAGUAGUCC